GCCCCUUGAUACUCCAAGUGUGGUCCUAGGUGAUCCUGUCUGAUCUCGGAAGCUAAGCAGGGUCGGGCCUGGUUAGUACUUGGAUGGGAGACCACCUAGAAAGACCAGGUGCUGUUGGCG
rnacentral:rRNA from 1 species